UCUCUAUGGGUCUCUAUGUGUCUCUAUGGGUCUCUGUGUGUCUCUAUGGGUCCCAUCUGCCCCAUAGGAGAAGGUUGACCCCACGGCAGCGUCCAAUCCCGACCUCCACCUCAACCGCGCCACGCUGCUUCAGUUCGAGGAGGACUACGGGGCCGCCCUGGAUGGAUUCGCGCGGGCGGCGGAUCUGGCUCCUGAUUGGUCGGAGCCCAGGGUGCGUCGAGCGCGGCUAUUGGAUUAUCUGGGCAGGAUCUGCAGCAACAUGGCCGCCGCGUCGAAAUCCCGAGCCCGGCGCCGCAGAGCUUUAUCCCCGUCACUAUUGGGGUCAUUAGGGGACACGGUGACUCCCAUGGGCUCAUUAUGGGAUGGCGACAACAAGGGCCGGGCGCUGCUGGGCCGAGUGCUGGGCUGUGUGCUGCCUGAAGAAGGAGUCCCCAUCGCCGUGGGUCUGUGUGACGGGACGGGCUCGGUCCUUCUGACCGUGUACAACGCGGCCCCAUAGAGCCCCAUAGACACCCCAUA